GCCACGUGAGCACAAGAUAAGAGAACGAAAAAUCAGCAGCCUAUGCAGCGACAAAUAUUGAUAGCCUGAAUCAGUAUUG
rfam:Escherichia coli str. K-12 substr. MG1655, complete genome.